UAAUUGAAGAGUUUGAUCAUGGCUCAGAUUGAACGCUGGCGGCAGGCCUAACACAUGCAAGUCGAGCGGUAACAGG
rnacentral:rRNA from 2 species